rnacentral:snRNA from 1 species
AUGCUCACUCUGGCAGCACAUAUAUAUUAAAAUUGGAACAAUAAAGAGAAGAUUAGCAUAGCCCUGUGCAAGGACUUGCAAAGUGUUGUUUUUUGUAUAU